UCCUACGGGAGGCAGCAGUGGGGAAUUUUGCGCAAUGGGGGAAACCCUGACGCAGCAACGCCGCGUGGAGGAUGAAGUCUCUUGGGACGUAAACUCCUUUCGAUAGGGACGAUAAUGACGGUACCUAUAGAAGAAGCCCCGGCUAACUUCGUGCCAGCAGCCGCGGUAAUACGAGGGGGGCAAGCGUUGUUCGGAAUUAUUGGGCGUAAAGGGUGCGUAGGCGGUUUGGCAAGUUUGGUGUGAAAUCUUCGGGCUCAACUCGAAGUCUGCAUCGAAAACUGCCGGGCUUGAGUAUGGGAGAGGUGAGUGGAAUUUCCGGUGUAGCGGUGAAAUGCGUAGAUAUCGGAAGGAACACCUGUGGCGAAAGCGGCUCACUGGACCAUAACUGACGCUGAUGCACGAAAGCUAGGGGAGCAAACAGGAUUAGAUACCCUGGUAGUCCUAGCCCUAAACGAUGAUUGCUUGAUGUGGCAGGUACCCAAUCCUGCCGUGUCGAAGCUAACGCGAUAAGCAAUCCGCCUGGGGAGUACGGUCGCAAGGCUGAAACUCAAAUGAAUUGACGGA
rnacentral:rRNA from 1 species